UGGGAAUUGCUGCCAGUGAGAGCUGCUCUGAGGGGAAGGCAGUGGCUGUUUACCUGCCCUGCUCAGCCAGCCCAGGGAGCACAGGAGAAAGAUUGAAUGGCAUUCCUUCCUCAAAAUAACUAUUUUCCUGUGACAUGGCUGGGAAGAAAGAAGGAAUCCCAUUGACAUUCCCGUUGGUGAAAGUCAGAACAUGAGGGUCUGGAUCACAUCCAGUAGCAGAGCUAAAACCAGUCCUGUGUCAAGAUGAUGUAACCACCGGGGGGUUGCAGAUGCCAAGCACAGGAGGGCAUAUCCAGAGCUCUCAUGAGGAGACUGAAGCCAYGGGCUGGAUUUGCUGAGGUCAGUGAAACUUCUUCUGCCUUAUUGGGAGCAAAUAUGGACUGGAGUGCCAAGAUAGAAGUUUAGCAGCCUGCCUUCAAAGCCUACUGUAGACAGGAGAAAGUUUCUUCAGGACUUGAGUGGCCCAGGAGCCAGUCCCUUUCAUUCACACUCGGUGCUUCCCGACAGAAGACAGUGACGUGACAGGAACGGUGACACAGGGCUCUUACUGUUCCAUUCAAUAAUUGAUUCUCCUGGAUGGAUUGUGACUCCCUAAAGGUUGCAAAGAGAGAAGCAGUGAUACAYGUUCUUCAGUUAUACACAGAUGAAUGUGCAUUCCAUGUGCUGUUUUCAGCUGUGUACUCACACCAGCCCAAAAUCCCAAAGAGAAAAGGCAAAGCUGAGAUUCACAUCAGUAGCAARGAACAUCAGGUGAUGUUGAUUUAAAGAAAACAUUAAUCAAUCCAGAUUUGCUUGGAACCGGGCCCAGGUUCUCUCAACAGGUUGGUGAACCUUAGCAAAUGUUUCUGUGAAUCUGUUCUGUGUUUUGACUUUGUAACGUGAUCUGAAAUCAUCUGAGUUUCAUGUGGUUUYGUUGUGCACGCUUUGGAGCGCUCGUGGGGCGAAUCCAGGGAGAGACUGAGGUGCUAAAUUUUGCAUGACGUGCUAAGGAAAGGUAACAAGCCAUGCAGUGAGAGUGAUGGCAACUCACUACAACUGGGGAAAAAAACCCAAACAGCCAGAGCAGGUGUCACUGCAAGCAGAAAAAGUUGAAUUAUCCUGCUGCUUACCAAGAGGAGCAAAACAGUGUAAGAGCAUUGGUUCAUGGGCAUUCCUUGGAUUCACACUGGACCCUGGAAGCAGAUUUGUUCCCUGUGGAUGCAGAAGCAUCAUGGUAACUCCCCCCAGGUACAGUCAAUUUUUUCAGGACAGUCAGUUAUUUUUCCUGAGGUGCAAUAUCUGAUCUCAGGGUGUUCUACAAAWCCAUCAUCUGCAAAUGACACAUUUUUUAAACAAUGCGUGAAUGCCUACUUAGUUCACACUUAGCUCACAGAGGUUUGGAAAGCUUGAUGCACUCUAUUGAGUAAAUAACUAUAAAUAAAACAGGCUAUUAAAAAAUCUUUAAAUGUGCAUUAUGCCAUYGAGCUAUGCUGUUUGGAAAGAGCUGUGGUGUUUGGGAAAUAUUAAACAUUUUCAACAACUGUCCAAAUACAUGUUUACACAUAGUUUAUGAAGUACACAAAGAUAUGUCUGUGGCAACUUUUGGGCCCCAACAGGUUUUAAUAAUUACUCUUUGAAUUCAGUAUUUUCAGUCACUUAAACACUUCAAAUGGACAGGAGGCAGCUAAUUAUAGAGAGAAAUGCUGAUUUCAAGGGAGCUUGGAACUUACUUCUCCAAAAACCUUUAGCAGCAGAUGGCAAAAUAUUGAUAUGAGAUGAAUGGRAUAGUCCUGUGUGGGGAGGGGACAGAAAAUUGUCAUUCAUGUAGGC